rnacentral:rRNA from 1 species
GGCCUUUUGACUAUAAUUUAAGGUCUGGCCUGCCCAGUGAGGAUUAAAUGGCCGCGGUAUUUUGACCGUGCUAAGGUAGCAUAAUCAUUAGUUUCUUAAUUAGAAACUGGAAUGAAAGGUUUAAUGAGAAAAUAACUGUCUCUUAAAUUUAAAUAGAAUUUUAUUUUUAAGUAAAAAAGCUUAAAUUUGAUUGGAAGACGAGAAGACCCUGUAGAGUUUAAUGAAUUAAUUUUAUUAAUUAUUUUUGUGAUUAAAGUUAAUAAAUAGAAUUGUUUAUUUGAUUGGGGUGAUUGAAAAAUUUAAUUAACUUUUAUUUUUACUUUUACAUUAAUUAAUGAUUUGUUGAUCCAAUGGUUUUGAUUACAAGAAAAAAUUACCUCAGGGAUAACAGCGUAAUCUUUUUUUAGAGUUCUAAUCGAUAAAAGGGGUUGCGA